rnacentral:lncRNA from 10 species
UGUCAAUUUUUAGUGCAUAGAAAAAAAUCUGGUCAGCUGCUGCUUGACAGCUGGAAAAAUAGAGCUGUACCUGAGCCAGUUUUGUACCUCAGAAAAGCAAGGGGGAGAGUCUCCUGCCUCACGCGGUGUGUGGGUGGAGGGCUGAAUCAUCAAGUUCUUUGAGUUCCUUGGGAAAAGAUAACUCAAAGGAAUAUUACACAACAUGGAGAAAUAGGAGGAAAAUAAGCAGAGACACAAAAAUGACUCAAGUGUUGAAAAAUAUGAUCCACGCAACUAAAAAUACAUUGCAACUGAGUUUGAAGAGGAAAAGACUGGGUGUCAACAUUCCAGUGGCCCAAAUGGCUGUGCAUGAAUGGGCUUUGGUUCGAAGGAUGGUGAGCAGAUGGUCACCGGCCUCACAGAGAAGAAGGUUGUGCAACAGGGCCUGGAGGCCCUCUGAAGAUCUGAGACAAGGGGAAGAGGACAACUUUACCAGGGACAAGACAGCCUGAGCUUCAGCAAAACACUAUAAAAGAGUAUCCUUGGUUCCAUAUGACCCAGGCAGAGGGAGGAGUGAUGGGUUUUCAAGGACUGAGAAUGCACAUAUGGAUAGAACAAAUCUAGAAAUUCAAGCUACUUCUAUUGCUAAACAAGUAUAGAGUUUCAUAUAAAUAUAAUUCAUAAAAGGUAUAAACGGCAAGAGUUUCUACCCAAAGAUUUUGUGAAACACCUGGCAUUCUAGCUACAGCAGCAAAUUAUGGCAUCCCUUAGCCCCUCAGAGACCUCUGUCCUCAGCAGAUGUGACCGCCUUCUUGGAUCUCAGCAGUGCAAGGGUUCAGUGUGCCAGCAUCUCUACAUCUGAGGUCUUGCUGUCUUCUGCAGGCCUUCCAGCUGCUUUGAGAGAGAAGUGACCAAAGUAUUCUCACUUUUGAAGGGAGUGAAAUAAAACCUGGACAAACCAGGUUCUCAAAUUAAAAUUCAUGGAUCUUCCUAUUUUCCCAAGAAGAGCCUGUUUUUUUUCGUAUACUCCAUUGAAGCCAUUGCUGGUGGACAAUUUUCAUAGCAUUUUCUUCUCUUUUGUUUUGAAAGGCAUUGAUUAGUAAGUAGGACAUUUCUGUUCAGCAAUUGCCCUUUGAAGUUUUAUUCAAACACAGAAUUUACUGUAAAACAGACCAGUCUUUAUUCUUUCUUUUAGUGAAAAUUAUAAACUCUUUUUAUAUAUAUAUAUAUAUAUAUAUAUUUUUAUUAUACUUUAAGUUCUAG